rnacentral:rRNA from 1 species
AACGAACGCUGGCGGCAUGCCUAACACAUGCAAGUCGAACGAGACCUUCGGGUCUAGUGGCGCACGGGUGCGUAACGCGUGGGAACCUGCCCUUAGGUUCGGAAUAACUCCCCGAAAGGGGUGCUAAUACCGGAUAAUGUCUUCGGACCAAAGAUUUAUCGCCUUUGGAUGGGCCCGCGUUGGAUUAGCUAGUUGGUAGGGUAAAAGCCUACCAAGGCGACGAUCCAUAGCUGGUCUGAGAGGAUGAUCAGCCACACUGGGACUGAGACACGGCCCAGACCCCUGCGGGAGGGAGGAGGGGGGAAUAAUGGACAGAGGCCGGAAGCAGGAACCCGGUAUGCCGGGUGAGGGCUUAAGGGUUUAGGGUUGUAAACCCUUUUUACCCGGGUUGAUAAGACCGGAGCCGGGAAAAAAGCCCCGGCCAACUACGGG